GCAAGUCGAACGGUAGCACAGAGAGCUUGCUCUCGGGUGACGAGUGGCGGACGGGUGAGUAAUGUCUGGGAAACUGCCCGAUGGAGGGGGAUAACUACUGGAAACGGUAGCUAAUACCGCAUAACGUCUUCGGACCAAAGUGGGGGACCUUCGGGCCUCACACCAUCGGAUGUGCCCAGAUGGGAUUAGCUAGUAGGUGGGGUAAYGGCUCACCUAGGCGACGAUCCCUAGCUGGUCUGAGAGGAUGACCAGCCACACUGGAACUGAGACACGGUCCAGACUCCUACGGGAGGCAGCAGUGGGGAAUAUUGCACAAUGGGCGCAAGCCUGAUGCAGCCAUGCCGCGUGUAUGAAGAAGGCCUUCGGGUUGUAAAGUACUUUCAGUGGGGAGGAAGGCGAUGAAGUUAAUAACUUCGUCGAUUGACGUUACCCGCAGAAGAAGCACCGGCUAACUCCGUGCCAGCAGCCGCGGUAAUACGGAGGGUGCAAGCGUUAAUCGGAAUUACUGGGCGUAAAGCGCACGCAGGCGGUCUGUCAAGUCGGAUGUGAAAUCCCCGGGCUCAACCUGGGAACUGCAUUCGAAACUGGCAGGCUAGAGUCUUGUAGAGGGGGGUAGAAUUCCAGGUGUAGCGGUGAAAUGCGUAGAGAUCUGGAGGAAUACCGGUGGCGAAGGCGGCCCCCUGGACAAAGACUGACGCUCAGGUGCGAAAGCGUGGGGGAGCAAACAGGAUUAGAUACCCUGGUAGUCCACGCCGUAAACGAUGUCGACUUGGAGGUUGUGCCCUUGAGGCGUGGCUUCCGGAGCUAACGCGUUAAGUCGACCGCCUGGGGAGUACGGCCGCAAGGUUAAAACUCAAAUGAAUUGACGGGGGCCCGCACAAGCGGUGGAGCAUGUGGUUUAAUUCGAUGCAACGCGAAGAACCUUACCUGGCCUUGACAUCCACGGAAUUCGGCAGAGAUGCCUUAGUGCCUUCGGGAACCGUGAGACAGGUGCUGCAUGGCUGUCCGUCAGCUCGUGUUGUGAAAUGUUGGGUUAAGUCCCGCAACGAGCGCAACCCUUAUCCUUUGUUGCCAGCACGUAAUGGUGGGAACUCAAAGGAGACUGCCGGUGAUAAACCGGAGGAAGGUGGGGAUGACGUCAAGUCAUCAUGGCCCUUACGGCCAGGGCUACACACGUGCUACAAUGGCGCAUACAAAGAGAAGCGACCUCGCGAGAGCAAGCGGACCUCAUAAAGUGCGUCGUAGUCCGGAUCGGAGUCUGCAACUCGACUCCGUGAAGUCGGAAUCGCUAGUAAUCGUAGAUCAGAAUGCUACGGUGAAUACGUUCCCGGGCCUUGUACACACCGCCCGUCACACCAUGGGAGUGGGUUGCAAAAGAAGUAGGUAGCUUAACCUUCGGGAGGGC
rnacentral:rRNA from 1 species